CAUAGGUUAAUGAGGCGAACCGGGGGAACUGAAACAUCUAAGUACCCCGAGGAAAAGAAAUCAACCGAGAUUCCCCCAGUAGCGGCGAGCGAACGGGGAGCAGCCCAGAGCCUGAAUCAGUGUGUGUGUUAGUGGAAGCGUCUGGAAAGGCGCGCGAUACAGGGUGACAGCCCCGUACACAAAAAUGCACAUGCUGUGAGCUCGAUGAGUAGGGCGGGACACGUGGUAUCCUGUCUGAAUAUGGGGGGACCAUCCUCCAAGGCUAAAUACUCCUGACUGACCGAUAGUGAACCAGUACCGUGAGGGAAAGGCGAAAAGAACCCCGGCGAGGGGAGUGAAAAAGAACCUGAAACCGUGUACGUACAAGCAGUGGGAGCACAGAGCAAUCUGUGUGACUGCGUACCUUUUGUAUAAUGGGUCAGCGACUUAUAUUCUGUAGCAAGGUUAACCGAAUAGGGGAGCCGAAGGGAAACCGAGUCUUAACUGGGCGUUAAGUUGCAGGGUAUAGACCCGAAACCCGGUGAUCUAGCCAUGGGCAGGUUGAAGGUUGGGUAACACUAACUGGAGGACCGAACCGACUAAUGUUGAAAAAUUAGCGGAUGACUUGUGGCUGGGGGUGAAAGGCCAAUCAAACCGGGAGAUAGCUGGUUCUCCCCGAAAGCUAUUUAGGUAGCGCCUCGUGAAUUCAUCUCCGGGGGUAGAGCACUGUUUCGGCAAGGGGGUCAUCCCGACUUACCAACCCGAUGCAAACUGCGAAUACCGGAGAAUGUUAUCACGGGAGACAC
rnacentral:rRNA from 1 species